AUUGAACGCUGGCGGCAGGCCUAACACAUGCAAGUCGAGCGGAUGACGGGAGCUUGCUCCUUGAUUCAGCGGCGGACGGGUGAGUAAUGCCUAGGAAUCUGCCUGGUAGUGGGGGACAACGUUUCGAAAGGAACGCUAAUACCGCAUACGUCCUACGGGAGAAAGCAGGGGACCUUCGGGCCUUGCGCUAUCAGAUGAGCCUAGGUCGGAUUAGCUAGUUGGUGGGGUAAUGGCUCACCAAGGCGACGAUCCGUAACUGGUCUGAGAGGAUGAUCAGUCACACUGGAACUGAGACACGGUCCAGACUCCUACGGGAGGCAGCAGUGGGGAAUAUUGGACAAUGGGCGAAAGCCUGAUUCAGCCAUGCCGCGUGUGUGAAGAAGGUCUUCGGAUUGUAAAGCACUUUAAGUUGGGAGGAAGGGCAGUAAGCUAAUAUCUUGCUGUUUUGACGUUACCGACAGAAUAAGCACCGGCUAACUCUGUGCCAGCCGCCGCAGUAA
rnacentral:rRNA from 1 species